GCCCUCGUAGCUCAGUGGAUAGAGCACGGCUCUCCUAAAGCCGGUGUCGUAGGUUCGAUUCCUAUCGAGGGCG
rnacentral:tRNA from 1 species